rnacentral:rRNA from 1 species
UGGGGAAUAUUGCACAAUGGGCGCAAGCCUGAUGCAGCCAUGCCGCGUGUGUGAAGAAGGCCUUCAGGUUGUAAAGCACUUUCAGCGGGGAGGAAGGCGAUAAGGUUAAUAACCUUGUCGAUUGACGUUACCCGCAGAAGAAGCACCGGCUAACUCCGUGCCAGCAGCCGCGGUAAUACGGAGGGUGCAAGCGUUAAUCGGAAUUACUGGGCGUAAAGCGCACGCAGGCGGUUGAUUGAGUCAGAUGUGAAAUCCCCGGGCUUAACCCGGGAAUUGCAUCUGAUACUGGUCAGCUAGAGUCUUGUAGAGGGGGGUAGAAUUCCAUGUGUAGCGGUGAAAUGCGUAGAGAUGUGGAGGAAUACCGGUGGCGAAGGCGGCCCCCUGGACAAAGACUGACGCUCAGGUGCGAAAGCGUGGGGAGCAAACAGG